GACGAACGCUGGCGGCGUGCUUAACACAUGCAAGUCGAACGGAAAGGCCCUGCUUUUGUGGGGUGCUCGAGUGGCGAACGGGUGAGUAACACGUGAGUAACCUGCCCUUGACUUUGGGAUAACUUCAGGAAACUGGGGCUAAUACCGGAUAGGAGCUCCUGCUGCAUGGUGGGGGUUGGAAAGUUUCGGCGGUUGGGGAUGGACUCGCGGCUUAUCAGCUUGUUGGUGGGGUAGUGGCUUACCAAGGCUGUGACGGGUAGCCGGCCUGAGAGGGUGACCGGCCACAUUGGGACGGAGAUACGGCCCAGGCACCUACGGGAGGCAGCAGUGGGGAGGAUUGCACAAUGGGCGGAAGCCUGAUGCAGCAACGCCGCGUGCGGGAUGACGGCAUUCGGGUUGUAAACCGCUUUCGCCUGUGACGAAGCGUGAGUGACGGUAAUGGGUAAAGAAGCACCGGCUAACUACGU
rnacentral:rRNA from 1 species